ACCCCAUGGGACCCAGAAGGUAAACAAACAAAACCGGUUUCCCCCAAAGGAAACAUGCAAAAAGUUAAUGACAAAUUGUCGACCUCAUCAUUCCAUUAACUAAGAUUCAUUUGGUUGAAAAUAGUAGAACUCUUGGUGGUCUUACAGCUUUGGACCAGCAUAUAAUCCCUACGGUCAAUAUUACUGAAGCAUCAGAUGUGAGGCAUUAUAAUAUAGUGGUGAAAAACAUGGCACUGGUGUUUGAAACCUGGCUUCCUAGCUGUGUGACCUCUGGUAAGUCACUUAACCUCUCUGUGCUUCAAUUCUGCCUCUAUAAAAUGGAGGCCAUAGCACCAUCUCUGUCACAGUGUUGCUUAGUAACGUGGUAGGUACUUCUCACUGUGACUAG
ensembl:lncRNA